rnacentral:lncRNA from 1 species
GAGCCAUCCACUUUCUAGAUUUGGGCUUCCCCUCCUCAGUGACCCCAGCUCCUCCCAAGAGAGCAAACCCUGAAGCAGCUCCUCUGGGGGUCUUUAAGGGGAGAAUAGGACUCGUGCUGUGCUCGGGGUGGACUGAAAUCAUGCUCAUCACACUAAAGCAUACUGCAACAUAAAGCCAGGUGUUUGCAAAUGAAAUGCAAACAGUCACACAGAUCCAGCAAAGCUACCCUUCACCUCACUUGCCAAAUGAGGCUGUUCCACUGAAACUCAGUGUCACCGGGCCCUGAGUCUGCACACUCACGCUCUCAGCUGCUACAGAAUGAUGACUCGGUUUCCCCACCGCUCUUUGGAUUCAAGCUGCUGCAAAGCCCUCCCCAGCCUGGGUGUCGAGAAGUUGCUUGGCCCAGUCGCAUGGCACGCCCAGGCAGUGGGGCCUGCAGACAGCGUGGGCACCAUUUAUGGAUGAAUCGACGAGAUCCUCUUCGCCUCCAUCCCUACACGAUGCACUUCCCCAUUCUCCUGACACCGCAUGGGCUGUUUCUGACUUCCAGCUACUAGGAGCAAGGGUGCCAUGUCCUCCUGUGUGUGUACAUCGUGCUGCCGCCACACGUGCCCCGAUUUCCGCAGGUUGCCCACAUCCAGGGUAAAGCCGCUGAGUCAGGGAAUCCACAUCUUCAAGUUGACCAGGCGUUGUUCAACCAGUAACAGCCCGGCCUUUGGGACUCCACCACAUGGAACAGAGCAGCCCCCUGGUGCAGCAGGAGGGCUGCCGGGGACAUCACUGAGGAGUCACAUCUUGGAGCUGGUGUAGCAGGAGGGAUGCCACUGGGGGACCUCACCUCGGAGUAGGAGUGCAGCGGGCGGACUGGCUGGAGAGGUUUCGCAGGAGAGCGGUGCCCAUAGAGGCAUCUCAGGGCCAUCCUGGCCUGUGUGAAGCAACAUGACGCCCCAUCCCUCCAUAGAAAGGGCUGUGCCAGCAGCUCCCACUUGGCCUCUGCGUCCAGGAUGACUUUGCACCAACAAUUACAUAAGGAAACUGUUUAAAAAGAGGGAA